GAUAAGGCUUUUUUAAAAGCCAAAAGGUUAUAAAAAUAAAGUGGCU
rfam:Xiphophorus maculatus strain JP 163 A Contig113.64, whole genome shotgun sequence.